GACGAACGCUGGCGGCGUGCUUAACACAUGCAAGUCGAACGGAAAGGCCCUGCUUUUGUGGGGUGCUCGAGUGGCGAACGGGUGAGUAACACGUGAGUAACCUGCCCUUUACUUUGGGAUAACUUCAGGAAACUGGGGCUAAUACCGGAUAGGAGCUCCUGCUGCAUGGUGGGGGUUGGAAAGUUUCGGCGGUUGGGGAUGGACUCGCGGCUUAUCAGCUUGUUGGUGGGGUAGUGGCUUACCAAGGCAUUGACGGGUAGCCGGCAUGAGAGGGUGACCGGCCACAUGGGGACUGAGAGACGGCCCAGACUCCUACGGGAGGCAGCAGUGGGGAAUAUUGCACAAUGGGCGGAAGCGUGAUGCAGCGGCGCCGCGUGCGUGAUGACGGCCUUCGGGUUGUGAACCGCUUUCGCCUGUGACGAAGCGUGAGUGACGGUAAUGGGUAAAGAAGCACCGGCUAACUACGUG
rnacentral:rRNA from 1 species